ACUCAAAGGAAUUGACGGGGGCCCGCACAAGCGGUGGAGCAUGUGGUUUAAUUCGACGCAACGCGAAGAACCUUACCCAGGCUUGAACUGCAGAGGACACUCUACGAAAGUAGAUUUCCGCAAGGACCUCUGUAGAGGUGCUGCAUGGCUGUCGUCAGCUCGUGUCGUGAGAUGUUGGGUUAAGUCCCGCAACGAGCGCAACCCUUGUCUUCUGUUGCCAUCGGGUCAAGCCGGGCACUCUGAAGAGACUGCCGGUGACAAACCGGAGGAAGGUGGGGAUGACGUCAAGUCAGCAUGGCCUUUAUGUCUGGGGCCACACACGUGCUACAAUGGCCGGUACAAACCGUCGCGAGCCCGCAAGGGGGAGCUAAUCGGAGAAAGCCGGUCUCAGUUCGGAUUGUAGGCUGCAACUCGCCUGCAUGAAGUUGGAAUCGCUAGUAAUCACGGAUCAGCACGCCGUGGUGAAUACGUUCCCGGGCCUUGUACACACCGCCCGU
rnacentral:rRNA from 1 species